GCCUUCGUAGGGUAGUGGUCAGCACGCUCGACGCGUAACCGAGAGGUCCGUGGUUCAAUUCCCGGAGAAGGCG
rfam:Stegodyphus mimosarum contig17331, whole genome shotgun sequence.